rnacentral:rRNA from 1 species
UAGGGAAUCUUCGGCAAUGGACGGAAGUCUGACCGAGCAACGCCGCGUGAGUGAAGAAGGUUUUCGGAUCGUAAAGCUCUGUUGUAAGAGAAGAACGAGUGUGAGAGUGGAAAGUUCACACUGUGACGGUAUCUUACCAGAAAGGGACGGCUAACUACGUGCCAGCAGCCGCGGUAAUACGUAGGUCCCGAGCGUUGUCCGGAUUUAUUGGGCGUAAAGCGAGCGCAGGCGGUUAGAUAAGUCUGAAGUUAAAGGCUGUGGCUUAACCAUAGUACGCUUUGGAAACUGUUUAACUUGAGUGCAAGAGGGGAGAGUGGAAUUCCAUGUGUAGCGGUGAAAUGCGUAGAUAUAUGGAGGAACACCGGUGGCGAAAGCGGCUCUCUGGCUUGUAACUGACGCUGAGGCUCGAAAGCGUGGUGAGCAAACAGGAUUAGAUACCCUGGUAGUCCACGCCGUAAACGAUGAGUGCUAGGUGUUAGACCCUUUCCGGGGUUUAGUGCCGCAGCUAACGCAUUAAGCACUCCGCCUGGGGAGUACGACCGCAAGGUUG